rnacentral:rRNA from 1 species
ACGGACGAGAAGCUUGCUUCUCUGAUGUUAGCGGCGGACGGGUGAGUAACACGUGGAUAACCUACCUAUAAGACUGGGAUAACUUCGGGAAACCGGAGCUAAUACCGGAUAAUAUUUUGAACCGCAUGGUUCAAAAGUGAAAGACGGUCUUGCUGUCACUUAUAGAUGGAUCCGCGCUGCAUUAGCUAGUUGGUAAGGUAACGGCUUACCAAGGCAACGAUGCAUAGCCGACCUGAGAGGGUGAUCGGCCACACUGGAACUGAGACACGGUCCAGACUCCUACGGGAGGCAGCAGUAGGGAAUCUUCCGCAAUGGGCGAAAGCCUGACGGAGCAACGCCGCGUGAGUGAUGAAGGUCUUCGGAUCGUAAAACUCUGUUAUUAGGGAAGAACAUAUGUGUAAGUAACUGUGCACAUCUUGACGGUACCUAAUCAGAAAGCCACGGCUAACUACGUGCCAGCAGCCGCGGUAAUACGUAGGUGGCAAGCGUUAUCCGGAAUUAUUGGGCGUAAAGCGCGCGUAGGCGGUUUUUUAAGUCUGAUGUGAAAGCCCACGGCUCAACCGUGGAGGGUCAUUGGAAACUGGAAAACUUGAGUGCAGAAGAGGAAAGUGGAAUUCCAUGUGUAGCGGUGAAAUGCGCAGAGAUAUGGAGGAACACCAGUGGCGAAGGCGACUUUCUGGUCUGUAACUGACGCUGAUGUGCGAAAGCGUGGGGAUCAAACAGGAUUAGAUACCCUGGUAGUCCACGCCGUAAACGAUGAGUGCUAAGUGUUAGGGGGUUUCCGCCCCUUAGUGCUGCAGCUAACGCAUUAAGCACUCCGCCUGGGGAGUACGACCGCAAGGUUGAAACUCAAAGGAAUUGACGGGGACCCGCACAAGCGGUGGAGCAUGUGGUUUAAUUCGAAGCAACGCGAAGAACCUUACCAAAUCUUGACAUCCUUUGACAACUCUAGAGAUAGAGCUUUCCCCUUCGGGGGACAAAGUGACAGGUGGUGCAUGGUUGUCGUCAGCUCGUGUCGUGAGAUGUUGGGUUAAGUCCCGCAACGAGCGCAACCCUUAAGCUUAGUUGCCAUCAUUAAGUUGGGCACUCUAAGUUGACUGCCGGUGACAAACCGGAGGAAGGUGGGGAUGACGUCAAAUCAUCAUGCCCCUUAUGAUUUGGGCUACACACGUGCUACAAUGGACAAUACAAAGGGCAGCGAAACCGCGAGGUCAAGCAAAUCCCAUAAAGUUGUUCUCAGUUCGGAUUGUAGUCUG